UAUAGGGAUUCGCAGAGGCAUUUUUGGAACAUCUUUGGAAAAAAUUGCAGGAUCCAAGUAAUCCCGCCAUCAUCAGGCAGGCUGCUGGAAAUUAUAUUGGAAGCUUUUUGGCAAGAGCUAAAUUUAUUCCUCUUACUACUGUAAAAUCAUGCCCAGAUCUUUUGGUUAACUGGCUGCACAUAUACCUUAAUAACCAGGAUUCGGGAACAAAGGCAUUCUGCGAUGUUGCUCUCCAUGGACCAUUUUACUCAGCCUGCCAAGCUGUGUUCUACACCUUUGUUUUUAGACACAAGCAGCUUUUGAGCGGAAACCUGAAAGAAGUAAGUACCAGCUCGUCUUCUGCUACACCAUCAUCGAGAGGAACAAUUGCCAGAUGCUGCCAGUCAUUAGGAGUACCACUGGAGGAGACUCAGUGCAGACCUGCACAAACCCACUGGACACCUUCUUCCCCUUUGAUCCCUGUGUGCUGAAGAGGUAGGUACUUUUAAACAUUGACGCUGGAGGAGGUGGAUUUUUUUUUCUUUUUGAGACGGAGUCUCGCUCUGUUGCCCAGGCUGGAGUGCGGUGGUGUGAUCUCGGCUCACCUCAAGCCAGCUCGCCCAGCCUGGCAUGAGCUGGCUCAUGUUUAUAAUCCCAGCACUUUGGGAAGCCAAGGUGGGUGGAUCACCUGAGGUCAGAAGUUCAAGACCAGCCUGGCCAACAUGGUGAAAUCCCGUCUCUACUAAAAAUACAAAAAUUAGCCGGGUUGGUGGCGCACACCUGUGGUUCCAGUUCUUCGGGGGACUGAGGCAGGAGAAUCGCUUGAACUUGGGAGGUGGAGUUUGCAGUGAGCAGAGAUUGAGCCACUGCACUCCAGCUUGGGUGACAGAGCGAGACUCCAUCAUGGAAAACAAACAAACAAACAAAAAAAAGCACUGCCAUCUAUGAAUAGCAGCAUGGCACAAAACAGAAGCCACUAGAGAGAGUAUUGCGGGACCCUUGUUUUAUGUAGCAAGAAAUGGAGGCUCAGAGAAGGGGCGACUGCCAAGGGUGAGUGACCCAGUGCAGGGAGCCGGCUUCCAUUCCGACUGCAGAUUCUAGCCCUUCACCAAGUCACUUCUCCUCACCAAGGGCUUCACUUGAACCAC
rnacentral:lncRNA from 1 species